UACGUAGGGGUCUAGCGUUGUCCGGAAUUAUUGGGCGUAAAGAGCUCGUAGGCGGUGUGUCGCGUCGGUCGUGAAAACUUGGGGCUUAACUCUGAGCUUGCGGUCGAUACGGGCAUCACUUGAGUUCGGCAGGGGAGACUGGAAUUCCUGGUGUAGCGGUGAAAUGCGCAGAUAUCAGGAGGAACACCGGUGGCGAAGGCGGGUCUCUGGGCCGAUACUGACGCUGAGGAGCGAAAGCGUGGGGAGCGAACAGG
rnacentral:rRNA from 1 species